ACAUUAGGCUGUGGGAUCCCCGAACUAAAGAUGGCUCUUUGGUGUCGCUGUCCCUCACCUCACACACAGGCUGGGUAACAUCAGUGAAGUGGUCACCUACCCAUGAUCAGCAGCUGAUCUCAGGCUCUUUAGAUAACAUGGUGAAGCUACGGGAUACGAGAAGUUGUAAGGCUCCUCUCUACGAUGUAGCUGCUCAUGAACAUAAAGUUCUAUGUGUGGACUGGACAGACACAGGGCUACUUCUGAGUGGAGGAGCAGACAAUAAAUUGUAUUCCUACACCUAUUCCCCUACCAAUUCCCAUGUGGGGGCUUGAAAAUGAAUGGCUGAUAAGAGAAAAAAA
rnacentral:lncRNA from 1 species